rnacentral:rRNA from 1 species
AGUGAACGCUGGCGGUAGGCCUAACACAUGCAAGUCGAACGGCAGCACAGUAAGAGUUUGCUCUUACGGGUGGCGAGUGGCGGACGGGUGAGGAAUACAUCGGAAUCUACUUUUUCGUGGGGGAUAACGUAGGGAAACUUACGCUAAUACCGCAUACGACCUACGGGUGAAAGCAGGGGAUCUUCGGACCUUGCGCGAUUGAAUGAGCCGAUGUCGGAUUAGCUAGUUGGCGGGGUAAAGGCCCACCAAGGCGACGAUCCGUAGCUGGUCUGAGAGGAUGAUCGGCCACACUGGAACUGAGACACGGUCCAGACUCCUACGGGAGGCAGCAGUGGGGAAUAUUGGGCAAUGGGCGCAAGCCUGAUCCAGCCAUACCGCGUGGGUGAAGAAGGCCUUCGGGUUGUAAAGCCCUUUUGUUGGGAAAGAAAAGCAGCAGGUUAAUACCCCGCUGUUCUGACGGUACCCAAUGAAUAAGCACCGGCUAACUUCGUG